rnacentral:rRNA from 1 species
UACGGAGGGUGCAAGCGUUAUCCGGAUUCACUGGGUUUAAAGGGUGCGUAGGUGGGCAAGUAAGUCAGUGGUGAAAUCUCCGGGCUUAACCCGGAAACUGCCAUUGAUACUAUUUGUCUUGAAUACUGUGGAGGUCAGCGGAAUAUGUCAUGUAGCGGUGAAAUGCUUAGAUAUGACAUAGAACACCAAUUGCGAAGGCAGCUGGCUACACAAAUAUUGACACUGAGGCACGAAAGCGUGGGGAUCGAACGGG